rnacentral:tRNA from 1 species
GUCGGAGUGGCGGAAUGGCAGACGCGCUAGCUUGAGGUGCUAGUGAGGUAUUAAUCCUCGUGGGGGUUCAAGUCCCCCCUCCGACACCA